rnacentral:rRNA from 1 species
UAAGGUAAGGAGGUGAUCCAACCGCAGGUUCCCCUACGGUUACCUUGUUACGACUUCACCCCAGUCAUGAAUCACAAAGUGGUAAGCGCCCUCCCGAAGGUUAAGCUACCUACUUCUUUUGCAACCCACUCCCAUGGUGUGACGGGCGGUGUGUACAAGGCCCGGGAACGUAUUCACCGUAGCAUUCUGAUCUACGAUUACUAGCGAUUCCGACUUCAUGGAGUCGAGUUGCAGACUCCAAUCCGGACUACGACAUACUUUAUGAGGUCCGCUUGCUCUCGCGAGGUCGCUUCUCUUUGUAUAUGCCAUUGUAGCACGUGUGUAGCCCUGGUCGUAAGGGCCAUGAUGACUUGACGUCAUCCCCACCUUCCUCCAGUUUAUCACUGGCAGUCUCCUUUGAGUUCCCGGCCGAACCGCUGGCAACAAAGGAUAAGGGUUGCGCUCGUUGCGGGACUUAACCCAACAUUUCACAACACGAGCUGACGACAGCCAUGCAGCACCUGUCUCACAGUUCCCGAAGGCACCAAUCCAUCUCUGGAAAGUUCUGUGGAUGUCAAGACCAGGUAAGGUUCUUCGCGUUGCAUCGAAUUAAACCACAUGCUCCACCGCUUGUGCGGGCCCCCGUCAAUUCAUUUGAGUUUUAACCUUGCGGCCGUACUCCCCAGGCGGUCGAUUUAACGCGUUAGCUCCGGAAGCCACGCCUCAAGGGCACAACCUCCAAAUCGACAUCGUUUACGGCGUGGACUACCAGGGUAUCUAAUCCUGUUUGCUCCCCACGCUUUCGCACCUGAGCGUCAGUCUUUGUCCAGGGGGCCGCCUUCGCCACCGGUAUUCCUCCAGAUCUCUACGCAUUUCACCGCUACACCUGGAAUUCUACCCCCCUCUACAAGACUCUAGCCUGCCAGUUUCGAAUGCAGUUCCCAGGUUAAGCCCGGGGAUUUCACAUCCGACUUGACAGACCGCCUGCGUGCGCUUUACGCCCAGUAAUUCCGAUUAACGCUUGCACCCUCCGUAUUACCGCGGCUGCUGGCACGGAGUUAGCCGGUGCUUCUUCUGCGGGUAACGUCAAUCGACAAGGUUAUUAACCUUAUCGCCUUCCUCCCCGCUGAAAGUGCUUUACAACCCGAAGGCCUUCUUCACACACGCGGCAUGGCUGCAUCAGGCUUGCGCCCAUUGUGCAAUAUUCCCCACUGCUGCCUCCCGUAGGAGUCUGGACCGUGUCUCAGUUCCAGUGUGGCUGGUCAUCCUCUCAGACCAGCUAGGGAUCGUCGCCUAGGUGAGCCGUUACCCCACCUACUAGCUAAUCCCAUCUGGGCACAUCUGAUGGCAUGAGGCCCGAAGGUCCCCCACUUUGGUCUUGCGACAUUAUGCGGUAUUAGCUACCGUUUCCAGUAGUUAUCCCCCUCCAUCAGGCAGUUUCCCAGACAUUACUCACCCGUCCGCCGCUCGUCACCCGAGAGCAAGCUCUCUGUGCUACCGCUCGACUUGCAUGUGUUAGGCCUGCCGCCAGCGUUCAAUCUGAGCCAUGAUCAAACUCUUCAAUU